ensembl:lncRNA
CUGAUGGGAGGGGGACAAACAAGGUGUGUCCAGGGUGUGUUUUACCUGUGCUGAUUGACCUUGCCUUCCUCUUCAGGCGGUCACCACACACAGAGUCCCGGUCUGGGAGCUCAGCUCCUAUGAUCUUUAUUGCUGACCUAACCACCCUGGCCAAGUCCCUCCUGCUCUCCGCUGUGCAGCCUGCAUACCACACACUGCAGCCCUGGCAGAGGAUGCUCUCAAUUGUGCUCCUAUAAAAGUGAAUGAGCAGGUGUGAGGAUAAACCAGCCUGUUGGAGCUUCAGUAGAAAGAAGAGCCUCUUCUGGGCCCUCUUUACAAGGUUGGAGAUGUUAGUAGUCCAUGUUAGGUCAUUGGUGAGUCCACCCUCUCCACUUCUUCCCCGUUGAUGGUAAGUGGGGUCUGCGUGGUCCUCUUGGACCUCCUUAAGUCCACGAGGAUCUCAUUUGUUUUGGUGGUGUUUAGGACCAUGUUGUUAUCCACACACUCUGCCAUGUUCCAGGAUCCAUGAGCAGAGUGAGGUGGGGAGUCACCAAGAUGGAUGAGUUUGAGGACUGUGUUCAGUUUAGUUGAGGGGAUUGUGGUGUUCCAGGAAGGCAGAGCUGAAGUCCACAAAGAGCAUCCACAAAGAGCUUACAUAUGUGUUGGGGUACUCCAGGGGGGACAGGGCUGUGUGGAGUGUGAUGGAGACAGCGUCCUCUGGGGAUCUGUUUGCCUGAUGGGCAAACUGGUGGCUGUCCAGGUCCACAG